rnacentral:rRNA from 1 species
UGAGGAAUCUUGCGCAAUGGGGGAAACCCUGACGCAGCAACGCCGCGUGAGUGAGGAAGGUCUUCGGGUCGUAAAGCUCUGUCAGGCGGGAAGAAAUGCAUGGAGGUGAACAGCCGCCAUGCUUGACGGUACCGCCAGAGGAAGCACCGGCUAACUCCGUGCCAGCAGCCGCGGUAAUACGGGGGGUGCAAGCGUUGUUCGGAAUCAUUGGGCGUAAAGAGCGUGUAGGCGGCUUGGUAAGUCAGAUGUGAAAGCCCUGGGCUCAAGGGGGGAGGUGCAUGGGGAGGGGCAAGGCGCGAGUGGGGGGGAGGGAGGUGGAAAGGCGGGGGGGGGGGGGACAUGGGUAGAGCGGGGGGGGAACGCGGGGGGGGAAGGCGACGUGCUGGGCCGAUAGGGAGGCUGGGACGCGAGAGAGGGGG